rnacentral:rRNA from 2 species
CAGCGAAACUGCGAAUGGCUCAUUAUAUAAGUUAUCGUUUAUUUGAUAGUACCUUACUACUUGGAUAACCGUGGUAAUUCUAGAGCUAAUACAUGCUAAAAAUCCCGACUCCGGAAGGGAUGUAUUUAUUAGAUUAAAAACCAAUGCCCUCUGGGCUCCUUGGUGAUUCAUGAUAACUUUUCGAAUCGCACGGCCUUGCGCCGGCGAUGGUUCAUUCAAAUUUCUUCCCUAUCAACUUUCGAUGUUUGGGUAUUGGCCAAACAUGGUCGCAACGGGUAACGGAGGGUUAGGGCUCGACCCCGGAGAAGGAGCCUGAGAAACGGCUACUACAUCCAAGGAAGGCAGCAGGCGCGCAAAUUACCCAAUCCCGAUUCGGGGAGGUAGUGACAAUAAAUACUGAUACAGGGCUCUUUUGGGUCUUGUAAUUGGAAUGAGUACAAUUUAAAUCCCUUAACGAGGAACAAUUGGAGGGCAAGUCUGGUGCCAGCAGCCGCGGUAAUUCCAGCUCCAAUAGCGUAUAUUAAAGUUGUUGUGGUUAAAAAGCUCGUAGUUGAACCUUGGGCCUGGCUGGCCGGUCCGCCUCACCGCGUGUACUGGUCCGGCCGGGCCUUUCCCUCUGUGGAACCUCAUGCCCUUCACUGGGUGUGGCGGGGAAACAGGACUUUUACUUUGAAAAAAUUAGAGUGCUCCAGGCAGGCCUAUGCUCGAAUACAUUAGCAUGGAAUAAUGAAAUAGGACGUGUGGUUCUAUUUUGUUGGUUUCUAGGACCGCCGUAAUGAUUAAUAGGGACAGUCGGGGGCAUCAGUAUUCAAUUGUCAGAGGUGAAAUUCUUGGAUUUAUUGAAGACUAACUACUGCGAAAGCAUUUGCCAAGGAUGUUUUCAUUAAUCAGGAACGAAAGUUAGGGGAUCGAAGACGAUCAGAUACCGUCGUAGUCUUAACCAUAAACUAUGCCGACUAGGGAUCGGACGAUGUUAUUUUUUGACGCGUUCGGCACCUUACGAGAAAUCAAAGUG